AUUGAACGCUGGCGGCAUGCCUUACACAUGCAAGUCGAACGGUAACAGGUCUUCGGAUGCUGACGAGUGGCGAACGGGUGAGUAAUAUAUCGGAACGUGCCCAGUCGUGGGGGAUAACGCAGCGAAAGCUGUGCUAAUACCGCAUACGAUCUAUGGAUGAAAGCGGGGGAUCGCAAGACCUCGCGCGAUUGGAGCGGCCGAUAUCAGAUUAGGUAGUUGGUGGGGUAAAGGCCCACCAAGCCAACGAUCUGUAGCUGGUCUGAGAGGACGACCAGCCACACUGGAACUGAGACACGGUCCAGACUCCUACGGGAGGCAGCAGUGGGGAAUUUUGGACAAUGGGCGCAAGCCUGAUCCAGCAAUGCCGCGUGCAGGAUGAAGGCCUUCGGGUUGUAAACUGCUUUUGUACGGAACGAAAAGGCUCUGGUUAAUACCUGGGGCUCAUGACGGUACCGUAAGGAUAAGCACCGGCUAACUACGUG
rnacentral:rRNA from 1 species